rnacentral:lncRNA from 1 species
AGAGAUCAAUAAGCAAAUUUAUUCUGCAUCCAUCCAUCCAUCCAUCCAUAGGACAUGCACAGGGUGUCCUAUGUUGGGAGGUAUGUUGCUAUGGUGGGCGAUUAGAAACGAUCGGCGGCCUCACCAAAGCUUAUCUAACUCCUCAAUUCAGAAACGUCUUAGGCAACUGAAAAGAUCUAUUCCUGUAAAAUUCUUGGUUAUACACGCAUAUGCUUAAGUACAUGUGUAACGCUAAGACUCAUUGGAAGGUUCAGGAGAGAGCGUCUCCCCAGCUACAGAUUUUGGGGGCCUGCCUUCUCUGCCCUUACAACGAUAGGUCCCUCUUGGUCACAAAAUCUGGGGGGAAAAAGAGGAGAGAAGGUAAUAAUUAUGGCACCAUCUGUUGCCAUUGGAUAGAGGAUCUUCUCACCCCUGCCUCUCUUGGGGUUGUGAGUGAGAAGCUGGCAAGGCCCCAGGCCAACAAGAAAAAAACAGGGGACUGAGAGGGGACAACCUGCCGCGGUAGCCGGUGUCCGCUUUGUGGUACUCUUUUGAGGGUCAUCUGGGAAAACUUUUAUUAUAUACUUUAUGGAAUAAUUUGCAUUAGGUCAAAUUUAUAUUCCUUCCGGAGAGCCUAUGAAACAUGAUCCCUAAUCUCAAGGGUAGACGUGGCAAAAACAAGAAAGAGAGUAAUUAGCAAAAAAGGGUGUCCUGUGGGAAAGAACUCUGAGUGAGGAACCGUUCAGAAUUUACAAGUUGCCCCUGGUCAAGAUGGUGAUGUGAUCUGACCUUGGAGAUCUGUGCGCUGGAAAGGAUCACCCGAAGGAUACCUUUAGUCAGGUGAAUGAAGGCAGCUGAGUACCCAAGAUUUUGGGGGCAGGUCACCUCUCUCCCUAACCUUAAGGAGCCGUUCAUUCUCUUUAUGGUGGCUUUGGUCAUCCCCUAAGUACUGGCUAUUGUGCAACUAUUAUGUGCCAGCUACUUUGCCAAGAACAUCAUCUAUAUUAUCACCUAUUCAUUCCUCCAGGCCUAGCUCACUGUUCUUUUUAACCCACCCAUGACUUAUGUCCCCAAGCCGAAUUAAUAAUGCCACUACCGGUGGACUGGUCAUUAAAACACUCUACUCAUUCUGUUCACUCCUUGAAUGCAGCUCUUCUCCCACAGCCCACGCUUCUACCUGUCCCCCUCAGUUCCUCAGUCCUCCUGAGCUGGACAGGACCAGCACCCACGCUUUAUUCCAACUUCCCAGCAUCUGGUAGUCCCCACGUGCCACAUUCCGUUGAGUGGAACCACAUGACUUCAAACUCUUGGAAGAAUCCCGUAAUUGUUGAGCAGGAGGGCGCCUGGAACCUCCGCUGGCUACAAGCUCCUUUCACACAGGAGGAAAUUUAGGUUCGCACAAGUAACUUGCCUGAGGUCACGUAAACCUGAUAGGACGAAAUCAGAAUCCAGUUCCCUUGCUUUUCAGCCCAGUGUAGAUGCGACCGAGACACAACUAAGUAUCUGUAUUUCCCAAUCUCCUGGCCCCACCCGAAUCCUAUCAGCAACUGGCCUUUGGACCUUCAGGCUAUUUCUGUGAUAAUCUAUUUUCUAGAAGAGCCCACUUCCAUACACAGCUUUUCUUUCAAAGCUCCGCAUUCCAAACAGGAAAGUCCAAACUCCAAAUGGGCUGGCUUGAGCCCUUGAGCCGCAGCAUCGGUGUAAAAGUUGGGGGUGGUGGGGUGGUGGUGGUGGUGGGGUGUGGUGGGGGGGCCCUUCUGUGUAUAUUUUUACCAAGUUCUGUCCACAUGCAGCCUUUGAUCCCCACAAAUCAAAACGCUUGUCAACACACAGAGCAGGCUCCCUCUUCCCCAUCUCUUGAGACCUGGCGGUUGUGCUGACUCGAGGAUCCUUCCUCCUCACCAACCUGGCGAACCCCAAGGAUCUGUUCCCCUCCUGGACAGCGAGCUGGCUUGGCCCUCGCACCGUCCCAAAGGUGGACUGUGUGUGCAGCACCGAGCAGCAGGGUGCACCGCGUGCCUCUGCAU